rnacentral:rRNA from 1 species
GACGCUGGCGGCAGGCUUAACACAUGCAAGUCGAACGAAGUCUUCGGACUUAGUGGCAGACGGGUGAGUAACGCGUGGGAACCUACCCUUUGGUACGGAACAACAGUUGGAAACGACUGCUAAUACCGUAUGAGCCCUACGGGGGAAAGAUUUAUCGCCAAAGGAUGGGCCCGCGUUGGAUUAGCUAGUUGGUGGGGUAAAAGCCUACCAAGGCGACGAUCCAUAGCUGGUCUGAGAGGAUGAUCAGCCACACUGGGACUGAGACACGGCCCAGACUCCUACGGGAGGCAGCAGUGGGGAAUAUUGGACAAUGGGGGCAACCCUGAUCCAGCCAUGCCGCGUGAGUGAUGAAGGCCCUAGGGUUGUAAAGCUCUUUCAGCGAGGAGGAUAAUGACGUUACUCGCAGAAGAACCCCGGCUAACUUCGUGCCACACCGCGGUAUACCAAGGGG